rnacentral:lncRNA from 1 species
CAUCAUAUCACUGUGAAAUUUGUGGUAAAUUAUUCUCAAGAGAUAUUGACUUAACUAGACACAUACGUAUUCAUACAGCCUCAUCCACAUUGCUGAACCUCCAUUCAUGCAGGAAAUGAGCUCUGGUUUGGAAAAGGUGACAAUCUGAUGGUGGAAAGUCUGACCUGUAGGGAGAGUGAUGGAGCACUUCCAGCCCUUCCAAGUUUGUACUAAGUCACUUUGACAGUGUGUGCUGGGGCAUUUUCAUGCUAUAGGGGGACAUGUCUUUGAUUGACCAAUGCUGGGUAGCAAGCUUUCAAAGCAUCAUAUACUUGCUGCAGUUGUUCAGCAUAAAGCUUAGCACUCACAACACAGCCGUCUGGGACAAGCUCAAAGUACAAUAUACCCCCCCCCCCCUUGAUAUUCCACCAAACACACAGCCUGACCUUCUGCUCAAGCAACCCUUGUUUGACAACAGGUUAUGAAGACAGUGGUUUCUCUCAUUAGGAUUACGAAUUUAAAUCCAUUUUUCAUCCCCUGUUUACAAUUUAAUGUCAACAAGCAUCUGAAGGAUUUGCCAGCAGUUAUUUGAGUCUGGUCAUUGGUCAGUUCUUGAGGAACUUCUCAGCAGUGUAUGUUCGCAAUACCUAGCUUAUGGAGGUGUCAGUUGAUGGUGCUUUAUGAAAGACCAUGUCCUGCCCACGAUGUACAAGUGCUUGUGCUUAGCUAUUGUUCGACCAUUUCAAGUAAGGUCCCAUCUUCCACAACAGGUCUCCUUGAUCUUCAUUUAUCUUUCAGACUGGUGUCACCUUCCUUGAAAAGUCUGAAGCAUGUGGGCUUUCCAUAGAAUUAAUUCCUUUUGCCGCUUCUCUUGCACUCAGUCCUUUCUUGUGCAAGUGGUGUAAAAUGGCUCUAAUUGCAAUUUCUUCACCACUCAUUAUCAAAGCUGUAAAAUAAAGAAUAAACAAUGUC